rnacentral:rRNA from 1 species
AUGGCCAGCGGCAACGUGUCCACCGUCUACAUCUCCGUCAUCGACGACGUGGUCGCCAAGGUUCGUGAGGACUUCAUUACCUACGGCGUUGGUGAUGCCGUCCUCAACGAGCUCCAGGCUCUCUGGGAAAUGAAGAUGCUGCACUGUGGCGCAAUCUCAGGGAACAUCGACCGCAACAGGGCUCCCCCCGCUUCCGCUGGAGGCGCUCCUGGUGCCGGCGCGACCCCACCCGUGCACGACCUCAACGUGCCCUACGAGGCCACGUCCGAGGAGUACGCCACCCCAACCGCCGACAUGCUGUUCCCACCGACGCCGCUGCAGACCCCGAUCCAGACACCACUUCCAGGGAUUGAUACAGGGAUGUAUAACAUACCCACGGGGCCGUCGGACUAUGCCCCAUCGCCGAUCAGUGACAUGAGAAACGGGAUGGGGAUGAAUGGGUCUGAUCCAAAAACUGGCCGUCCAAGCCCUUACAUGUUUGUUUUGCAGCAACCUCCAUCGCCCUGGAUGAAUCAGAGACCACUGGGGGUUGAUGUGAACGUUGCUUACGAGGAGAGCCGUGAGGACCCAGACCGGAUGAUGCAACCUCAGCCACUGACUAAGGAUUUUCUGAUGAUGUCUUCUGGAAAACGGAAGAGGGAUGAAUAUCCUGGUCAGCUUCCUUCUGGUUCAUUUGUGCCACAACAGGAUGGAUGUGCAGACCAGGUUGCCGAAUUUGUGGGGUCAAAGGAUAACGCACAACAGGUGUGGAAUUCCAUCAUGAACAAGCAAGAAUCAGUAACAAAGACACUUUCUAUCGAAGAAAGCACAAUACCACCAGUUCUUCCUCAACGGGACGGGAUACAAGAUGAUUAUAACGAUCAGUUUUUCUUCCCAGGAGUUCCAACCGAAGACUACAAUACCCCUGGGGAGUCUUCGGAAUAUCGAACUCCCACACCUGCUGUUGCAACACCAAAGCCAAGAAACGAUACGGCGGGUGGUGAUGAUGAUGAUGAUGAUGAACCUCCUCUUAAUGAAGAUGAUGAUGACGAUGACGAGAUAGAUGACUUACAGGAUGGCGAUGAGGAACCUAACACGCAGCACCUUGUCCUGGCACAAUUCGACAAAGUAACAAGGACAAAGAAUCGCUGGAAGUGCACUUUGAAGGAUGGAAUCAUGCAUUUGAAUGGCAGAGAUGUUCUAUUCAACAAGGCUUCAGGAGAGUUUGAUUUUUGA